GACGAAGGAUGCAAGCGUUAUCCGGAUUCAUUGGGUUUAAAGGGAGCGUAGGUGGCCUUAUAAGUCAGCGGUGAAAUCUCUGGGCUUAACCCAGAAAUUGCCAUUGAUACUGUAGGGCUUGAGUAUAGUUGCCGUUGGCGGAAUAUGACAUGUAGUGGUGAAAUACAUAGAGAUGUCAUAGAACACCGAUUGCGAAGGCAGCUGACGAAACUAUAACUGACACUGAGGCUCGAAAGUGCGGGGAUCAAACAGG
rnacentral:rRNA from 1 species